rnacentral:rRNA from 1 species
AGAGUUUGAUCCUGGCUCAGAUUGAACGCUGGCGGCAUGCCUUACACAUGCAAGUCGAACGGCAGCGCGGGGCAACCUGGCGGCGAGUGGCGAACGGGUGAGUAAUAUAUCGGAACGUACCCUGGAGUGGGGGAUAACGUAGCGAAAGUUACGCUAAUACCGCAUACGAUCUAAGGAUGAAAGUGGGGGAUCGCAAGACCUCAUGCUCCUGGAGCGGCCGAUAUCUGAUUAGCUAGUUGGCGGGGUAAAAGCCCACCAAGGCAACGAUCAGUAGCUGGUCUGAGAGGACGACCAGCCACACUGGAACUGAGACACGGUCCAGACUCCUACGGGAGGCAGCAGUGGGGAAUUUUGGACAAUGGGCGCAAGCCUGAUCCGGCAAUGCCGCGUGAGUGAAGAAGGCCUUCGCC